GAUGAACGCUAGCGGCAGGCCUAAUACAUGCAAGUCGAACGGUGUCUUCGGACAUAGUGGCGCACGGGUGCGUAACACGUAUGCAACCUACCUUACAUUGGGGGAUAGCCUUUCGAAAGGGAGAUUAAUACCGCAUAAGACAGUAGCUGGGCAUCCAGCGGCUGUUAAAGAUUUAUCGAUGUAAGCUGGGUAUGCGUCCAAUUAGCUCGUUGGUGAGGUAACGGCUCACCAAGGCAAUGAUUGGUAGGGGAACUGAGAGGUCAAUCCCCCACACUGGCACUGAGAUACGGGCCAGACUCCUACGGGAGGCAGCAGUAGGGAAUAUUGGGCAAUGGACGCAAGUCUGACCCAGCCAUGCCGCGUGCAGGAUGAAGGCGUUAUGCGUUGUAAACUGCUUUUAUACAGGAAGAAACGACUCUUGCGAGAGGCAUUGACGGUACUGUAUGAAUAAGCACCGGCUAACUCCGUGCCAGCCGCCGCCGUAAUAC
rnacentral:rRNA from 1 species